GAUGAACGCUAGCGGCAGGCUUAACACAUGCAAGUCGAGGGGCAGCAUGAGGGUUAGCAAUAACCCUUGAUGGCGACCGGCGCAAGGGUGCGUAACGCGUGAGCAACUUGCCCGUUUCAGGGGGAUAACCGGUGGAAACGCCGACUAAUACCCCAUGGUGAUGGUUUGAGGCAUCUCUUUCCAUCUAAAGAAUUUCGGAAACGGAUAGGCUCGCGUGACAUUAGCUAGAUGGCGGGGUAACGGCCCACCAUGGCGACGAUGUCUAGGGGUUCUGAGAGGAAGGUCCCCCACACUGGAACUGAGACACGGUCCAGACUCCUACGGGAGGCAGCAGUGAGGAAUAUUGGUCAAUGGUCGGAAGACUGAACCAGCCAAGUAGCGUGAAGGAUGAAGGUUCUAUGGAUUGUAAAACUUCUUUUAUACGGGAAUAAAACUACCCACGUGUGGGGGCGUUGUA
rnacentral:rRNA from 1 species